UGCCACAGUGACCCGGUGACACGCGCACACACACACACCCGCGCAAGAUUGGCCAAGGCGGCGAUCGGGACCCGGUGGAGCGCUGCAACCUUGCUCACGACUUGGUCUCUUUGUCGCCGCUUGCGAGCCGGAGGGGGGGAUCCGGAGUAGACAGGUGAGCUUGGGCUUGGCCAGCAGGCGACCUCUAGGUGGAGGAGCAGCUCUGGGGCCGGGAGGACCACUUGUCCCCAUAACCCCCUCGGGGGAGGGGACUGAGAUCCUCAACAGGAGCACAUCUCUUGUUGCUCCCGUGUAGCUUGCUAAAUGCCAAUUUCUCACUUUUUUUCCUAAGGAACAGAGAGUUGGUUUAUGAUCUAUCAAUUGCAACUAUUUUUCAUUUUCCUUUUUUCUUUUUUCUUUGCUCAGCACUGAAAAAAGUACCACGGUAAUGUCCCUCUUAAAAAAAAAGAUGUGAUCUUACCAUACCUUAUCCUUUCUUCAGGGGAUAUGUCGUAAAAACUCCCCUUUGCGCAUCAUAGAAGUAACUUGAUCGGGAUACGUUACUCCAUCCAAUGACUGAAUAGGCUUCCGUUCUUUUUACGCAGCCUCCCUGAGGGUACCUGUGUUAGCCGAGUGAGCGCUCGGGAUGAUGGCUAAGAUCAACCUCGGCGGAGGUCGCUUCUUUCGGAUUGAUCCAUUCGGAUUAGAAGUGACCGCGGGUUCAACGGCGGUGCCAGUAGGGGAAAAAAGAGAAGACAUCAACCAUCUAUCCAGUGAUCUGGAGGAAAGAGGGAAGAGAUUACUUGUGUGCUGACAUUCUAUCAGUGACUGGCCUUUUGCUCAAAAAAAUAAAAUACAAUGGACUCUUAUUACA
rnacentral:lncRNA from 1 species